GACGAACGCUGGCGGCGUGCUUAACACAUGCAAGUCGAACGGAAAAGCCCUGCUUUUGUGGGUUGCUCGAGUGGCGAACGGGUGAGUAACACGUGAGUAACCUGCCCUUGACUUUGGGAUAACUUCAGGAAACUGGGGCUAAUACCGGAUAGGAGCUCCUGCUGCAUGGUGGGGGUUGGAAAGUUUCGGCGGUUGGGGAUGGACUCGCGGCUUAUCAGCUUGUUGGUGGGGUAGUGGCUUACCAAGGCUUUGUCGGGUAGCCGGCCUGAGAGGGUGACCGGCCACACUGGGACUGAGACACGGCCCAGACUCCUACGGGAGGCAGCAGUGGGGAAUAUUGCACAAUGGGCGGAAGCCUGAUGCAGCAACGCCGCGUGAGGGAUGACGGCCUUCGGGUUGUAAACCGCUUUCGCCUGUGAAGAAGCGAGAGUGACGGUAAUGGGUAAAGAAGCACCGGCUAACUACGUG
rnacentral:rRNA from 1 species